rnacentral:rRNA from 1 species
CCUACGGGUGGCAGCAGUGGGGAAUAUUGGACAAUGGGCGAAAGCCUGAUCCAGCCAUGCCGCGUGUGUGAAGAAGGCCUUCGGGUUGUAAAGCACUUUCAGUGGGGAAGAAAGCCUUGGGGCUAAUACCCUCGAGGAAGGACAUCACCCACAGAAGAAGCACCGGCUAACUCCGUGCCAGCAGCCGCGGUAAUACGGAGGGUGCGAGCGUUAAUCGGAAUUACUGGGCGUAAAGCGCGCGUAGGCGGUCUGAUAAGCCGGUUGUGAAAGCCCAGGGCUCAACCUGGGAACGGCAUCCGGAACUGUCAGGCUAGAGUGCAGGAGAGGAAGGUAGAAUUCCCGGUGUAGCGGUGAAAUGCGUAGAGAUCGGGUGGAAUACCAGUGGCGAAGGCGGCCUUCUGGACUGACACUGACGCUGAGGUGCGAAAGCGUGGGUAGCAAACAGGAUUAGAUACCCUAGUAGUC